AAACUUAACUACUGAAUUUGUAUAAUAUAAUGGUAUUAAACAAGUAUGGUAUCAUCUUUAUGUUAUAUCUGUUUGAUAUCAUAAAUCUUUUUUUUUCUCUAAAAAUUUGAAUGCUUUGACUUCCGACGAAAGUCAUAAGAAUUUGGUAGGCACGGAGUAGACAGCUUCAUCACGAGAGGCAGUCGGCAGGGAACCAUGCCUGCAGCCUGCCUGCCUGAUGCGCAGGAGCACCAGCGCGGCAGCGGAUGAAUGGAGGCUGGCCAAAGGACACCAGCUCGGCUCUGUCAGGCCCCCACCAUUGUUUGUUUGAUCACAGCUGCGUACAGUACAGAUUCCCAAUCGAGUACCGCGUCCUUGUCAAUUUUUGUCAUCCCAGCAACAGUUUCAUCGCACCGGUACUACACCUAGCAAAAUCCUACCCGUUUCAAUUGUAUCACGAGCUCGGUUUAUCGACGAGCCAAUGAGCCAUCUCGUUAGCUAGCUCGAAAGAGCUAGCGUUUGUUAACAAAACAAAUCCUCCAUUUAUGUUGAAUGAAUUGAAAAGUUCACCAGGGCAAAGCGUGGAACCAUAACAGCAUGAAGCGCAGCAGUAAGUAACCAUGAUCAGAGUCGAGACCAUUCCAUCAAGUAAAUAAGUAAAUAAACGCAGUAAAACUGUGAAAUUUCAUCUGGCACCGAACCGGGCAAUGUUAUGUUACCCAUUCCACCCCCACCUAUGCUCUGCUCUGCCUCUGGCUCAUCCAUUCAAAGCCGAUCCAGGACCCCCCAACCAGGGUAAUUAUAUUCCUCGACAGCUUUUCAGAACAUGUUCUCCUGGGCGGGGCGUCGUGGCUUUAUCGGAAUAUUCCAACAACUAGGAGAGAGAGAGAGAGAGAGAGAGAACAGCUCAGCUAUGGAGUAUGGGAGGGAGGGAGGGAAUCCGCUUUUCCUGGAGCAGCUUCAAACUAGCGCCAAUCAGCUAGUUUGUCCCUUCCCCCGCUCUUCCUCAUGGAAAACGAAUCUUGAUCCCCGAGCAUAUAUUCCUGGUCCUGCUGGACACCUAAUCACUGAACUGACCGCUAGGUUUAUAUUAUUCUGUAAAUGAUACGGAUCCGACAGCUGGAAUCUCAAUCAUGGUCCGUCUUAGCUUAAAUCUCAAGCAUGCAACAUUUUAAAAACAGGAAUCCAUUUGAAAAAAAAUGGAGUCUCCAAACUAGCCCUUGCCAAUUCUAGCUGCCAUGGUAUACUCAAGUAGUAAACACGCAUGCAACAUCUUCACCAGAUUCUAGUCUAGGUUAUAAGAGUUGAUGACCCAGAAAGGAUUCCGCUAACAUCACCACACCUCACAUGGUUAUAUUCGUUCAUCAGGAAAGUAUUACAGUACAGACACCAUUUCAGACAAGGCAAAGUUGUUCACAGCAAACAACCUGUACAUUUCCCAUCCAUAUACAGACAUGGAGUAGGUCCACAAGAAUUCAAAAAAAAGGCGAAGCCCAAAUCAGUAGCCUAAUUGAUCCAGGAUUAGGCUUACGUAUCUUGGUAAUAAGGUGCGGGGUUAUGCCCCUUGUUAAAAAAAACUAGUUUACUUAACACAAACCUAUAAUUGAUGGCGUCUGAGAAUCAAUCAGGUCGACCCCAGUUUUCAUGAUUAGCAUCUGUCACAGAAACCAUGCUGACCAUAAUUCACAAGCAUCAUGUGAGCAUGCUUGCUGUUGCUGCCCCAUAAUUUCUACUACCUUACAGAGCUCGUAGUGGUAUACAUCCCUAGCAACAAAGGCAGUCAAAUCAAUUAAUCUCUCUGCAGUUCAGUCCAGCCUGGCAUGGUUUCCCCCGUGACCAAGGACAGGGGCUGCAUCAACAUGACCGCCCUACAACCCCGCAGGCAAAUCCAAGCCGCCUGCCUCCCUGACACCACCACCAGAACAGAAGAAAAUUGCAGUUGGAAAUUAAGGUCAUGUUUGGUUUCUAGGGACUAAUAUUUAGUCCCUUCAUUUUGUUUCAUUUUAGUAUAUAAAUUGACAAAUAUAGAAACUAAAAUAGAGUUUUAGUUUCUACAUUUGGUAAUUUUGUAACUAAAGUGGAAUAAAAUGUAGUGACUAAAAAUUAGUCCCUAGAAACCAAACACCCCCUAAAGCAGACUAGCAGAGUCUAGCGGAUAUAGGGAUGGAUCAUGGUAAACCACCAGAACGUAGUCACCCAGACUACGUCGGAUCAAACUACGGAAACCACGCGUCAGAUCCAGAUCCGGGUUGUUUAAUCUAGAGCAGAGACCCCCUCACCCCCCACGACGCCUAAUAAUUCCCACGGCGUCACACAAGACAGAACCACAGCAACACGCGCACGACCCGUAUCAGAAAAACAAAAAAACACGCAACAAGCAGGCCACGGCAUGGGGGGUACUCAAGAGCAGCGCAGGUGGCGGACGGCGGCGGGGGUCGGUCGCUGUAUCGCUGCGCCGGCUCCGAUUCACUUGAUGCAAGGCGGGAUCCGUCCCGUCGGCCGGGCGGCGGGUCCCGAUCUGCACCAAGCGAGCCCGAGACGGCGCGGCGGAGGCGGUUGCUUGCUUCCCGGUAAGAGAGAGAGAGAGAGAGGCGUGGUGGUUAACUGGGUGGUGCUGCUGGUGCC